GCAUAUCAAUAAGCGGAGGAAAAGAAACCAACAGGGAUUGCUCUAGUAACGGCGAGUGAAGCAGCAAUAGCUCAAAUUUGAAAUCUGGCGUCUUCGACGUCCGAGUUGUAAUUUGUAGAGGAUGCUUCUGAGUAACCACCGACCUAAGUUCCUUGGAACAGGACGUCAUAGAGGGUGAGAAUCCCGUAUGCGGUCGGAAAGGUGCUCUAUACGUAGCUCCUUCGACGAGUCGAGUUGUUUGGGAAUGCAGCUCUAAAUGGGAGGUAAAUUUCUUCUAAAGCUAAAUAUUGGCCAGAGACCGAUAGCGCACAAGUAGAGUGAUCGAAAGAUGAAAAGCACUUUGGAAAGAGAGUUAAAAAGCACGUGAAAUUGUUAAAAGGGAAGGGAUUGCAACCAGACUUGCUCGCGGUGUUCCGCCGGUCUUCUGACCGGUCUACUCGCCGCGUUGCAGGCCAGCAUCGUCUGGUGCCGCUGGAUAAGACUGGAGGAAUGUAGCUCCCUCGGGAGUGUUAUAGCCUCUUGUGAUGCAGCGAGCGCCGGGCGAGGUCCGCGCUCGGCUAGGAUGCUGGCGUAACA
rnacentral:rRNA from 1 species